UGGGGAAUUUUGGACAAUGGGGGCAACCCUGAUCCAGCCAUCCCGCGUGUGCGAUGAAGGCCUUCGGAUUGUAAAGCACUUUUGGCAGGGAAGAAACAGCCUGGGAUAAUACCCCCGGGCGACUGACGGUACCUGCAGAAUAAGCACCGGCUAACUACGUGCCAGCAGCCGCGGUAAAUACGUAGGGUGCAAAGCGUUAAUCGGAAUUACUGGGCGUAAAGCGUGCGCAGGCGGUUCGGAAAGAAGGGUGUGAAAUCCCAGGGCUUAACCUUGGAACUGCACUUUAACUACCGACUAGAGUACGUCAGAGGGGGGUAGAAUUCCACGUGUAGCAGUGAAAUGCGUAGAGAUGUGGAGGAAUACCGAUGGCGAAGGCAGCCCCCUGGGCCAAUACUGACGCUCAUGCACGAAAGCGUGGGGAGCAAACAGGAUUAGAUACCCUGGUAGUCCACGCCCUAAACGAUGUCAACUAGUUGUUGGGGG
rnacentral:rRNA from 1 species